rnacentral:lncRNA from 1 species
GGUUGCUUCAGGCGUUUUUCGACAAAACAGCUUAAUUCUUACAUUUUUUUUUUAUCUUUCCUUUUAUUUUGCUAAAACGAUUUCGGUGUGGUUUGUUUAGUUGUCAGCAAGAGUAGGCUCUAAACCUGAAACCUCCCCAUAAAAGUAGUGUAGUAUAAUAUUAUUACUCAUAGAUUUAUGAUGCUACAUACUUACAUAUUUACACUGACUCUAAAUUGAAGUUUGAUAGGCAUUUCUGCUGGGUCUUAAAAGUGGUCUACGAAACAUUUUAUCAGCAAU